AUUGAACGCUGGCGGCAUGCUUUACACAUGCAAGUCGAACGGUAACAGGCCGCAAGGUGCUGACGAGUGGCGAACGGGUGAGUAAUGCAUCGGAACGUGCCCAGUCGUGGGGGAUAACGCAGCGAAAGCUGUGCUAAUACCGCAUACGAUCUAUGGAUGAAAGCGGGGGACCGUAAGGCCUCGCGCGAUUGGAGCGGCCGAUGUCAGAUUAGGUAGUUGGUGGGGUAAAGGCCUACCAAGCCGACGAUCUGUAGCUGGUCUGAGAGGACGACCAGCCACACUGGGACUGAGACACGGCCCAGACUCCUACGGGAGGCAACAGUGGGGAAUUUUGGACAAUGGGCGCAAGCCUGAUCCAGCAAUGCCGCGUGCAGGAAGAAGGCCUUCGGGUUGUAAACUGCUUUUGUACGGAACGAAACGGCCUGGGUUAAUACCCUGGGCUAAUGACGGUACCGUAAGAAUAAGCACCGGCUAACUACGUGCCAGCAGCCGCCGCGGUAA
rnacentral:rRNA from 1 species